UUUUAGACUUAGACUGACUUUAUUGUCAUUUUGCAUGCACAGGGUGUACACAGAACAAAAUUUCAUUGCAUACGGCUCAGGACCGUGUCUUGUGGUUCCAAUGGUGUG